rnacentral:lncRNA from 1 species
GUAGAAUCAGGAGAGGAGAGUAGUAGAAUCAGGAGAGGAGAGUAGUAGAAUCAGGUGAGGAGAGUAGUAGAGAGUAGUAGAAUCAGGUGAGGAGAGUAGUAGAAUCAGGAGAGGAGAGUAGUAGAAUCAGGAGAGGAGAGUAGUAGAGAGUAGUAGAAUCAGGAGAGGAGAGUAGUAGAAUCAGGAGAGGAGAGUAGUAGAGAGUAGUAGAAUCAGGAGAGGAGAGUAGUAGAAUCAGGAGAGGAGAGUAGUAGAAUCAGGAGAGGAGAGUAGUAGAAUCAGGAGAGGAGAGUAGUAGAAUCAGGGGAGGAGAGUAGUAGAAUCAGGUGAGGAGAGUAGUAGAGAGUAGUAGAAUCAGGAGAGGAGAGUAGUAGAAUCAGGAGAGUAGUAGAAUCAGGGGAGGAGAGUAGUAGAAUCAGGAGAGUAGUAGAAUCAGGGGAGGAGAGUAGUAGAAUCAGGAGAGGAGAGUAGUAGAAUCAGGAGAGAAGAGUAGUAGAAUCAGGAGAGGAGAAUAGUAGAAUCAGGAGAGGAGAGUAGUAGAAUCAGGAGAGGAGAGUAGUAGAAUCAGGGGAGGAGAGUAGUAGAGAGUAGUAGAAUCAGGAGAGGAGAGUAGUAGAAUCUCUACUACAGGAGAGUAGUAGAAUCAGUAGAGGAGAGUAGUAGAAUCUCUACUACAGGAGAGUAGUAGAAUCAGUAGAGGAGAGUAGUAGAAUCAGG